GACGGGGGAUGGCAAGUGUUAUCCGGAAUCACUGGGCGUAAAGCGUCUGCAGGUGGUUUCCUAAGUCCACUGUUAAACCUUGAGGCUCAACCUCAAAUCUGCAUUGGAAACUAGGAGACUUGAGUAUAGUAGGGGUAGAGGGAAUUUCCAGUGGAGCGGUGAAAUGCGUAGAUAUUGGAAAGAACACCGAUGGCGAAGGCACUCUACUGGGCUAUUACUGACACUCAGAGACGAAAGCUAGGGGAGCAAAUGGG
rnacentral:rRNA from 1 species